GACGAACGCUGGCGGCGUGCUUAACACAUGCAAGUCGAACGGAAAGGCCUCUUUCUUGGGGUACUCGCGUGGCGAACGGGUGGGUAACACGCGCGUAACCUGCCCACCUCUUUGGGUUAGCUUAAGUCAACUGGGGGGAGUACCGAAUAGGAGAUCCUUCUGCAUGGUGGGGGUUGUAGAGUUUCGGCGGUUUGGGGUGGAUUCGCGGCGUAUCCGCUUGUUGGUGGGGUAUUGGGUUACCAACGCCUUGACGGGUAGGCGGACUGUGAGGGUGAUCGGCCACAUUGGGACUGAGAGACGGCCGAGACUGCUAAGGGAGGGAGCAGUGGGGAAUCUUGCACAAUGGGUGGAAGGCUGAUGCAGCAACGCCGUGGGCGGGAUGACGGUCUUAGGGUUGUAAAACGCAUUCGCUAGUGACGAAGCUUUGUGUGACGGUAGUGGGUAAAGAAGCACCGGCUAACUACGUG
rnacentral:rRNA from 1 species